rnacentral:rRNA from 1 species
GAUGAACGCUGGCGGCGUGCCUAAUACAUGCAAGUCGAGCGAACAGACGAGGAGCUUGCUCCUUUGACGUUAGCGGCGGACGGGUGAGUAACACGUAGGUAACCUACCUAUAAGACUGGGAUAACUUCGGGAAACCGGAGCUAAUACCGGAUAAUAUUUCGAACCGCAUGGUUCGAUAGUGAAAGAUGGCUUUGCUAUCACUUAUAGAUGGACCUGCGCCGUAUUAGCUAGUUGGUAAGGUAACGGCUUACCAAGGCAACGAUACGUAGCCGACCUGAGAGGGUGAUCGGCCACACUGGAACUGAGACACGGUCCAGACUCCUACGGGAGGCAGCAGUAGGGAAUCUUCCGCAAUGGGCGAAAGCCUGACGGAGCAACGCCGCGUGAGUGAUGAAGGUCUUCGGAUCGUAAGACUCUGUUAUUAGGGAAGAACAAACGUGUAAGUAACUGUGCACGUCUUGACGGUACCUAAUCAGAAAGCCACGGCUAACUACGUG